GUUGAAGUGGCCUGAGAUUAAGCGGUAAAUUGUAAAUUUACAGACGAAUGAGAAUUCCUUUAUCA